rnacentral:rRNA from 1 species
GGGAAUAUUGCACAAUGGGCGAAAGCCUGAUGCAGCAACGCCGCGUGAGCGAUGAAGGCCUUCGGGUCGUAAAGCCCUGUCCUCAAGGAAGAUAAUGACGGUACUUGAGGAGGAAGCCCCGGCUAACUACGUGCCAGCAGCCGCGGUAAUACGUAGGGGGCUAGCGUUAUCCGGAAUUACUGGGCGUAAAGGGUGCGUAGGUGGUUUCUUAAGUCAGAGGUGAAAGGCUACGGCUCAACCGUAGUAAGCCUUUGAAACUGGGAAACUUGAGUGCAGGAGAGGAGAGUGGAAUUCCUAGUGUAGCGGUGAAAUGCGUAAAUAUUAGGAGGAACACCAGUGGCGAAGGCGGCCUGCUGGGCUUUAACUGACGCUGAGGCUCGAAAGCGUGGGUAGCA